rnacentral:rRNA from 1 species
UGGGUAACCUGCCUCAAAGAGGGGAAUAGCCUCCCGAAAGGGAGAUUAAUACCGCAUGAUAUGUUUUGGUCACAUGGCCUUAACAUCAAAGGAUUUUCUUCGGAAAAUUCACUUUGAGAUGGACCCGCGGCGCAUUAGCUAGUUGGUGAGGUAACGGCUCACCAAGGCGACGAUGCGUAGCCGACCUGAGAGGGUGAUCCGGCCACAUUGGAACUGAGACACGGUCCAGACCUCGUACGGGAG